AAACUGAAGAGUUUGAUCAUGGCUCAGAUUGAACGCUGGCGGCAGGCUUAACACAUGCAAGUCGAGCGGUAACAGGUCCAGCUUGCUGGAUGCUGACGAGCGGCGGACGGGUGAGUAAUGCAUAGGAAUCUGCCCGGUAGUGGGGGAUAACCUGGGGAAACCCAGGCUAAUACCGCAUACGCCCUACGGGGGAAAGCAGGGGCUCUUCGGA
rnacentral:rRNA from 1 species